rnacentral:rRNA from 1 species
AUUGAACGCUGGCGGCAUGCCUUACACAUGCAAGUCGAACGGCAGCACGGGAGCAAUCCUGGUGGCGAGUGGCGAACGGGUGAGUAAUGUAUCGGAACGUGCCCAGUCGUGGGGAUAACGUAGCGAAAGCUACGCUAAUACCGCAUACGAUCUAUGGAUGAAAGCGGGGGAUCGCAAGACCUCGCGCGAUUGGAGCGGCCGAUAUCAGAUUAGGUAGUUGGUGAGGUAAAGGCUCACCAAGCCGACGAUCUGUAGCUGGUCUGAGAGGACGACCAGCCACACUGGGACUGAGACACGGCCCAGACUCCUACGGGAGGCAGCAGUGGGGAAUUUUGGACAAUGGGCGGCAAGCCUGAUCCAGCAAUGCCGCGUGCAGGAUGAA